rnacentral:misc_RNA from 1 species
GAUGAAGAACGUAGCGAAAUGCGAUAAGUAAUGUGAAUUGCAGAAUUCAGUGAACCAUCGAAUCUUUGAACGCACAUUGCGCCCGGCAGUAAUCUGCCGGGCAUGCCUGUCCGAGCGUCAUUUCUCCCCUCGAGCGCAGCUUUCCCCCCCGGGGGAGGGCCGCGCCCGGUGUUGGGGCGCUACGGAGGAGCCCAGCGCACCCCCGUAGGCCCCGAAAUGUAGUGGCGGUCCCGCCGCGGCGCCCCCUGCGUAGUAGUUUUACAACUCGCAUCGGGUCCCGGCGGAGGCCAGCCGUCAAACCCCCCAACUUCAAUAGUUUGACCUCGGAUCAGGUAGGGUUACCCGCUGAACUUAAGCAUAUCAAUAAGCGGAGGA